rnacentral:rRNA from 1 species
GGARGGAUCAUUACCGAGUUUACAACUCCCAAACCCAAUGUGAACGUUACCAAACUGUUGCCUCGGCGGGGUCACGCCCCGGGUGCGUAAAAGCCCCGGAACCAGGCGCCCGCCGGAGGAACCAACCAAACUCUUUCUGUAGUCCCCUCGCGGACGUAUUUCUUACAGCUCUGAGCAAAAAUUCAAAAUGAAUCAAAACUUUCAACAACGGAUCUCUUGGUUCUGGCAUCGAUGAAGAACGCAGCGAAAUGCGAUAAGUAAUGUGAAUUGCAGAAUUCAGUGAAUCAUCGAAUCUUUGAACGCACAUUGCGCCCGCCAGUAUUCUGGCGGGCAUGCCUGUCCGAGCGUCAUUUCAACCCUCGAACCCCUCCGGGGGAUCGGCGUUGGGGAUCGGGACCCCUCACCGGGUGCCGGCCCUGAAAUACAGUGGCGGUCUCGCCGCAGCCUCUCCUGCGCAGUAGUUUGCACAACUCGCACCGGGAGCGCGGCGCGUCCACGUCCGUAAAACACCCAACUUCUGAAAUGUUGACCUCGGAUCAGGUAGGAAUACCCGCUGAACUUAAGCAUAU